GGGACCCUCAAGCUCCGCCUCCAUCCCAGCUCCCCAGCCGAGAGCUCGCGGUCCCGGGUGCCUGGCGGGCUGUAGCCCGCGAUCCUGUAGGCUAAAGGAGGAAACGACACCACUCCUGUUGCCCGGAGACUGAAGGGCUAAAGCGCCCUUUCCUGGUGUCUGGUUGGGAAUGUGUUUCCCUAUCCCAAGCGCAUCGUUGACCUACCGUCACCUCGCUGCCCUCCUUGCUGUCAUCUUCCGGGACUCCCGUCCGGCUCAUCCUGGACCCGGGGGCCCCUAGGUGAGAAAACAACGCAAAGACGGUAGAUGCUUCCCUCAAGAUGAAACAUUCGUAAGCUCCAUGGCCAGCAUGGAGACCAAUGCAGGGCUUGAAGUCAGGACCCUGAGAUCGAGAGUCAGAGGCUUAACCAACAGAGCCACCCAAGAGCCCCAAAAUGUCUAACUGUAAAGGACAGGAUGGGAUAAGGAUGGAAGUGAGACUUUCUUCCCAGUAAGACUUUCAACCAUAGACCCAUUUAUAUGUUUUACAUAUUCAAAAAAUAGAAAAGAAAAAAGUAAACUCAAAAUUGAAAGCACACCCAAACACCUAUCUGUACAUUAAAUUGGAAAUAUAACAUCAUAGAGAAAA